UACGUAGGUGACAAGCGUUGUCCGGAUUUACUGGGCGUAAAGGGCGCGUAGGCGGCCACCGCAAGUCGACUGUGAAAUCUCCGGGCUUAACCCGGAAAGGUCAGCCGAUACUGCGGGGCUAGAGUGCAGAAGGGGCAACUGGAAUUCUCGGUGUAGCGGUGAAAUGCGUAGAUAUCGAGAGGAACACCUGGGGCGAAGGCGGCCAGCUGGGCCGUCCCUGACGCUGAGGCGCGAAGGCGUGGGGAGCGAACGGG
rnacentral:rRNA from 1 species